AAGUCGUAACAAGGUUUCCGUAGGUGAACAUGCGGAAGGAUCAUUACCGAAUUGCCAACAUGAGUUGUUGCUGGCCCUCAAUGGGGGCAUGUGCACACUAUGUUUGCACAUCCACUCACACCUGUGCACACUCCGUAGUUCUAUGGCCUGUGGGACUCUGUCCUCCUGUGCUGUGGUUCUAUAUCUUUACACACACACACUGUAAUGAAGUAUCGUGGAAUGUAUGCUGCGUUUAACGCAAUACAAUACAACUUUCAGCAACGGAUCUCUUGGCUCUCGCAUCGAUGAAGAACGCAGCGAAAUGCGAUAAGUAAUGUGAAUUGCAGAAUUCAGUGAAUCAUCGAAUCUUUGGACGCACCUUGCGCCCUUUGGCUAUUCCGAAGGGCAUGCCUGUUUGAGUAUCAUGAACACCUCAACUCUCAUGGUUUGCCAUGGUGAGCUUGGACCUUGGGGGUCUUGCUGGCCUUAUGGGUCAGCUCCUCUCAAAUGGAUCAGCUUGCCAGUGUUUGGUGGCGUCACAGGUGUGAUAACUAUCUACGCUUGUGGCUCUCUGCCAGAUAACCUUCAGCAAUGGAGGUCCACUGGAGCUCAUAAAUGUCUCUCCUCAGCGAGGACAGCUCUUUGAAUGUUUGAUCUCAAAUCACGUAGGACUACCCGCUGAACUUAA
rnacentral:rRNA from 1 species